CACAGUAACCCUAUCCCUAUCCACGCGUUCUUUCCGGCGACGGCGCCGCCAUUCUCUUGUUCUCCGCCCCAUGGCCGCCCCAUCUUCUCCUCACCUGCCUGACCUUAUGCCCACCUCCUCCCACUCUCUCCGCCUUUCUGUGCUCCCGUCCUCCUAGUGCCUCCUCCCGGCUCCCGCAUCCAGAUGCGUCCGCCUUGGGUUUGCUACCGCCGGAGAUGGCUACCAUGGAGGUCGGCCCCUUCAGAUCUAGCGGCACAGUCCUCUACCAGGUGAAGUAGUCAAGGAGGACGCAGCGCCGUCACCUGGCUGGUGCUGGGUGCCGCUCUGGCCCUCCUUCCGGUCGGUGUGUACCUUGCUCCUGGGGUAGCGCCGAGCGAAGGCGACGACUACAAGCAGCAGCAGAAGCGGCGCAUGGCCAAGGAUCUAGGCCUCCGACCAUUGGUGGUCGUUCUUGUGGCAGAAGCGGCGGUACAGAGUGCACGCCUGCCCCCAGUUCAGCCUUCCUCCAUCAGAUCUGGAGCCCCCGGAUUCUUCCUCCCGGCAGCAGCGCAAUUUGUUGGCCUGCUCACCAGCUCCUAGCGGUGGUGCCCUGUGAUACCCCAUGGCCCCUGACCCCUGUCCAUACCUGCUGACAAAAAGUGGACGGAGGGCUUCUAUGACACAUCCAUGGCCUACUGCUGGAAGUCGAUUGGCGGUCUCCAUGUCCUGAAAUGCUAGUUCUAUAAUUAGGAAGCAACCGUAAGGACUAGACUCACAAAGACCCGUGAAGCCGUACUGGACUCACAAAGAACCAUGAAGCCAACAGUCCACGUCAACUGGAUGUUUGAGCUUCCAUUUUGUACAACUGAUGUCUCAUACUUGCAUUUUUAUCUAUCCUUUUCUGAUCAUGAUGUAUGGUGUCUUAGUGGUUAUGUUUAGAAUAGACUGAAGUGUAUAUAUGUGACGAUUAGUUAAUGAAUAAAAAAAUGUUUGGUGCACAUGAAAUACGGUGCCUUGGUGAUUA